CUGACAGCAGUGGUAUAUCAGACCAUAUACCACGGAUGCUGUCAUGAAGCGCUUCCCGGAUGCAACAAAGGGACAAGUGGGAACGGCUUAAAACAGUAAAAUGGCUGAAUUGAGAAGCAAUGAGAGGAAAAAAAAAACAUUAAUAGGAUUCAAUUACAUUUUUUGUGUCGUUUUUUGGUUCUGUUUUAUUACCAUAACUAAAAGUAUCACUGAAAUAAUGCUCCGUAACACAUAUUGUUAACAUGUAUUGUCACGUAUAAGGGAUGAAUAUGUAAUAAACAUUUGAAUACUA